ACCUGAUAAUGUGGGCAUUGAUGGAGUAAGUCCCUAAAGCGUUCUCAAGUCUUGAAAAAGAGUUCCCCAUCCAUCUGUGAGAAGCUCAUGAUGGCUCUUUGAAGCU